rnacentral:rRNA from 1 species
AGUGAACGCUGGCGGUAGGCCUAACACAUGCAAGUCGAACGGCAGCACAGUAAGAGCUUGCUCUUACGGGUGGCGAGUGGCGGACGGGUGAGGAAUACAUCGGAAUCUACUUUUUCGUGGGGGAUAACGUAGGGAAACUUACGCUAAUACCGCAUACGACCUACGGGUGAAAGCAGGGGUUCUUCGGACCUUGCGCGAUUGAAUGAGCCGAUGUCGGAUUAGCUAGUUGGCGGGGUAAAGGCCCACCAAGGCGACGAUCCGUAGCUGGUCUGAGAGGAUGAUCAGCCACACUGGAACUGAGACACGGUCCAGACUCCUACGGGAGGCAGCAGUGGGGAAUAUUGGACAAUGGGCGCAAGCCUGAUCCAGCCAUACCGCGUGGGUGAAGAAGGCCUUCGGGUUGUAAAGCCCUUUUGUUGGGAAAGAAAAACAGCAGGUUAAUACCCCGCUGUUCUGACGGUACCCAAAGAAUAAGCACCGGCUAACUUCGUG